rnacentral:rRNA from 1 species
AUUGAACGCUGGCGGCAUGCCUUACACAUGCAAGUCGAACGGCAGCACGGGGGCAACCCUGGUGGCGAGUGGCGAACGGGUGAGUAAUGCAUCGGAACGUGCCCAGUAGUGGGGGAUAACCCGGCGAAAGCCGGGCUAAUACCGCAUACGACCUACGGGUGAAAGCGGGGGACCGCAAGGCCUCGCGCUAUUGGAGCGGCCGAUGUCUGAUUAGCUAGUUGGCGGGGUAAGAGCCCACCAAGGCGACGAUCAGUAGCUGGUCUGAGAGGACGACCAGCCACACUGGGACUGAGACACGGCCCAGACUCCUACGGGAGGCAGCAGUGGGGAAUUUUGGACAAUGGGCGAAAGCCUGAUCCAGCCAUGCCGCGUGCGGGAAGAAGGCCUUCGGGUUGUAAACCGCUUUUGGCAGGAACGAAACGGCGCGAGCCAAUACCUCGCGCUAAUGACGGUACCUGCAGAAUAAGCACCGGCUAACUACGUGCCAGCAGCCGCAGUAACAC